GCCUUCGUGGUGUAGUGGUCAGCAUGCUCGUUGCAUGUUUGAGAGAUCCAUGGUUCGAGUCCUGGUGAGGGCA
rnacentral:tRNA from 1 species